UACGGAGGAUGCAAGCGUUGUCCGGAUUUAUUGGGCGUAAAGAGCGUGUAGGCGGCCAGAUAGGUCCGUUGUGAAAACUCGAGGCUCAACCUCGAGACGUCGGUGGAAACCGUUUGGCUAGAGUCCGGAAGAGGAGAGUGGAAUUCCCGGUGUAGCGGUGAAAUGCGCAGAUAUCGGGAAGAACACCCGUGGCGAAGGCGGCUCUCUGGGACGGUACUGACGCUGAGACGCGAAAGCGUGGGGAGCGAACAGG
rnacentral:rRNA from 1 species